rnacentral:rRNA from 1 species
CACGUAGGGCGCAAGCGUUGUCCGGAAUUAUUGGGCGUAAAGAGCUCGUAGGCGGCUUGUCGCGUCGAAUGUGAAAACCCGCAGCUCAACUGUGGGCUUGCAGCCGAUACGGGCAGGCUUGAGUUCGGUAGGGGAGACUGGAAUUCCUGGUGUAGCGGUGAAAUGCGCAGAUAUCAGGAGGAACACCGGUGGCGAAGGCGGGUCUCUGGGCCGAUGCUGACGCUGAGGAGCGAAAGCGUGGGGAGCGAACAGG